UAUACAUAUGAAUAUUGGCGAAACAAUUGCGGUAAUGAACUAUUAAAAUAAAAACGGAUUAAGUUGUUGGUCAAUGAUUAAAAUGUUACUGCCACUUCGUAUUUGAUCUCAUCAGCCCGCCAUAAUAGUCUCAACAAAUCACUGACUAAACUGAAGCUUUAUUAUACAAUAUAAUAAUAUCGAGUUACGACUCUAUACCGUCAUCUACUAGUGACUGGUGCUAACUGAGCGAAAUAAUUCAAAAAUAGCAAACUCCAAUUUGGUUAUUUUCUGAAAACUCCAAGAAAACUGGACGAAGAUAAGAUAGAGGAAAAGGCAUUACUAGAAUUAAUUUCACUAGUAGCCUCGCAAACAAUAAAUAAACCUACAUUUACUAGUGAAUUCGCUGUUGAAACAGACCCUUCAUUGAUGGAUAUUUCAAAUAAUAAAGAAAAUAAUUUGUUAGUGGGAAAUAUUGUAACUACUGCAAAUGAUAAGUUACUUGCAGAAAAUAUCAAUAGUAUCGACUUAGACGAAGCACAAAGUUCCGUUAGCAGUUCGACAGCACAGCUGGACAAUAAAUCUUCAAACAACAAAGAAACAACUGCAAAAUGGUUAUCUUACAUUCCUAAAAAUUACUCUACAAUCAAAGGUAUCGUGCAGGAUUUACCGAAACGUACCAAAAAACAAAUUAUAAUAUAGUUGUCAAACAUUUUAACUGUCUAUAAACUAUGUAACGCAAAAUUCAUAUAUUUUUGACCCCUUUUUCUCCUACUUAAUAGGACCGUACCGCCCGGCCUGAACCUUCCCCCUCCUCAUCCGUUAGGGUUGCCAAGUUUAAUAUUUAGAUUGUUAGGACGAGUAGGACACUAGAGAGAAGAUGAUGACAAACAUAUAACAUCUAUCUAACGGUUGGCAACCCUACUGCAUUGUAAAAGUUGUAGGAUUGAAUUCAGGCAACAAAGUUUUUUUUAUUUUCAACAAUAAUUCACUUUUAAAUAAACAAUGACAAUUUCUAAUUAACAUUAAACCGUGGUGACCUAUUGCUAAACAACGAAAUUCAUUUAGAGAAUUAUUCUUUCUAUUCAAACCAUGACCCCCACCGCAUAGCGGCACAGCCCCCCUACAUAAACAGGACCGUAACGUCAAUCUGGACCCCUCCUCCUCCCCAUUUUACGUUACGUAGUUUGUAGACAGCCUUUAGAAAUAAAUAGAAAUUCAUCAGUUGACAAAUGUUUGUUUUUUAUACUGUUAUUUAGUUUUUUAAUAAAUAAAUUUUAACUUAGUUGCAAUUUUAUUUUAAAACGUUAACUUAUAGAAUAGAUUAAUCGUA
rnacentral:misc_RNA from 1 species